AUCUUCCCUCUGUCUUGUUCCUAAGCGCACAGGGCUCCUCCGGCCCCGCCGAGCUGCGCCCGCUGCCUUCACACCCCGGACAUCCGCGCCACACGGGAGACCUGCGGAGACAGCCCCCGUGAGGCUCCCGUUCCCGCCCCCUCCCGCCCCAGGGACCCAGACCCCAGGAGGCCUCACCCCAGAGCAAGAGAAAGACCACCAACAUGGACAUGAUGGUCGCGCUCACUCCGGUGCAUGCUGGAUCCUGGAUCCUGUUCUAGAAGGAGACGCUGAGUUCUCCGCACUCUACCUGGAGCUGCUGAGGUCAAGUGGAGAGUGCCAGGGCUGCAGCCCAGCGAGCCCCUCCCUGUCACACCACACUGCACAUGUGACACCAAAGGCGGGGUUCACCUCUUUUCAGACUUUCUGUGGUUGCCCUCACAUGGGCUGUCUGGAGGUGCACCUCACUCUUCUUGAGGACCAUGGUUCCUUCUCCAUCACUGGUUCAUUCUGUAUGGUGUGACCCACCAUGGCUCUGGAGUCGGAUUUCCACCCAGGUCAUUCAGCUGAGACCUGCGCUU
rnacentral:antisense_RNA from 1 species